rnacentral:ncRNA from 2 species
GAGUAGAGGCUGCGCUGAUCAUGAAUAUCGGUUUGGAUGUGGCAGGCACAGAAGAAAAGCCGUGAAAGGGAAAAGCGCCGAAGGAGCGGUUAUCCUGCAGGAUCGUUUCUGGGUGCAGGAUGAAGAAUCCUGUGACUGUCAUCCAGGUGGAUGGAGAGCUACCAGA